rnacentral:rRNA from 1 species
UGGGGAAUAUUGCACAAUGGGCGAAAGCCUGAUGCAGCAACGCCGCGUGAACGAUGAAGGUCUUCGGAUCGUAAAGUUCUGUUGCAGGGGAAGAUAAUGACGGUACCCUGUGAGGAAGCCCCGGCUAACUACGUGCCAGCAGCCGCGGUAAUACGUAGGGGGCUAGCGUUAUCCGGAUUUACUGGGCGUAAAGGGUGCGCAGGUGGUCCUUCAAGUCGGUGGUUAAAGGCUACGGCUCAACCGUAGUAAGCCGCCGAAACUGGAGGACUUGAGUGCAGGAGAGGAAAGUGGAAUUCCCAGUGUAGCGGUGAAAUGCGUAGAUAUUGGGAGGAACACCAGUAGCGAAGGCGGCUUUCUGGACUGCAACUGACACUGAGGCACGAAAGCGUGGGUAGCAAACAGGAUUAGAUACCCUGGUAGUCCACGCUGUAAACGAUGAGUACUAGGUGUCGGGGGUUACCCCCCUCGGUGCCGCAGCUAACGCAUUAAGUACUCCGCCUGGGGAGUACGCACGCAAGUGUG